rnacentral:rRNA from 1 species
CCCUUAGAUGUUCUGGGCUGCACGCGUGCUACAAUGGCGUUUCCAGCAAGUCUGCGAACCCGAGAGGGCCAGCGGAUCUUCGAAUUGGCGUCGUGAUCGGGACAGUCGAUUGCAAUUAUUUGACUCAAACGAGGAAUUCCUUGUAAUCGCGAUUCAUCAUAUCGCGCUGAAUACGUCCCUGCCCUUUGUGCACACCGCCCGUCGCUCCUACCGAUUGAGCGAUCCGGUAAAUGUUUUGGAUUGGUGCCGGGGCGGCUAGCUGCCGGUCGCUACGAAAUUUUGUGAACCUUAUCGCUUAGAGGAAGGAAAAGUCGUAACA